rnacentral:rRNA from 1 species
CUCGUAGGUGGUUUGUCGCGUCGUCUGUGAAAUUCCGGGGCUUAACUCCGGGCGUGCAGGCGAUACGGGCAUAACUUGAGUACUGUAGGGGAGACUGGAAUUCCUGGUGUAGCGGUGAAAUGCGCAGAUAUCAGGAGGAACACCGGUGGCGAAGGCGGGUCUCUGGGCAGUAACUGACGCUGAGGAGCGAAAGCAUGGGUAGCAAACA